rnacentral:rRNA from 3 species
UACGUAGGGUGCGAGCGUUGUCCGGAAUUAUUGGGCGUAAAGGGCUCGUAGGCGGUUUGUCGCGUCGGGAGUGAAAACACCGGGCUUAACUCGGUGCUUGCUUUCGAUACGGGCAGACUAGAGGUAUGCAGGGGAGAACGGAAUUCCUGGUGUAGCGGUGAAAUGCGCAGAUAUCAGGAGGAACACCGGUGGCGAAGGCGGUUCUCUGGGCAUUACCUGACGCUGAGGAGCGAAAGUGUGGGGAGCGAACAGG